rnacentral:rRNA from 1 species
GGCAAGAGCUCAAAUUUGAAAGCUGGCUCCUUCGGGGUCCGCAUUGUAAUUUGCAGAGGAUGCUUCGGGUGCAGCCCCCGUCUAAGUGCCCUGGAACGGGCCGUCAUAGAGGGUGAGAAUCCCGUAUGGGGCGGGGUGUCUGCGUCCGUGUGAAGCUCCUUCGACGAGUCGAGUUGUUUGGGAAUGCAGCUCUAAAUGGGUGGUAAAUUUCAUCUAAAGCUAAAUACUGGCCGGAGACCGAUAGCGCACAAGUAGAGUGAUCGAAAGAUGAAAAGCACUUUGAAAAGAGAGUUAAACAGCACGUGAAAUUGUUGAAAGGGAAGCGCUUGCAACCAGACUCGCUCGCGGGGUUCAGCCGGGCUUCGGCCCGGUGUACUUCCCCGCGGGCGGGCCAGCGUCGGUUUGGGCGGCCGGUCAAAGGCCUCCGGAAUGUAGCGCCCUUCGGGGCGCCUUAUAGCCGGGGGUGCAAUGCGGCCAGCCUGGACCGAGGAACGCGCUUCGGCACGGACGCUGGCAUAAUGGUUGUAAACGACCCGUCUUGAAACACGGACCAAGGAGUCUAACAUCUACGCGAGUGUUCGGGUGUCAAACCCGUACGCGCAGUGAAAGCGAACGGAGGUGGGAGCCCCCUCGCGGGGCGCACCAUCGACCGAUCCUGAUGUCUUCGGAUGGAUUUGAGUACGAGCGUAGCUGUGGGGACCCGAAAGAUGGUGAACUAUGCCUGAAUAGGGCGAAGCCAGAGGAAACUCUGGUGGAGGCUCGCAGCGGUUCUGACGUGCAAAUCGAUCGUCAAAUUUGGGUAUAGGGGCGAAAGACUAAUCGAACCAUCUGGUAGCUGGUUCCUGCCGAAGUUUCCCUCAGGAUAGCAGUAACGCGGAUCAGUUUUAUGAGGUAAAGCGAAUGAUUAGAGGCAUUGGGGUUGAAACAACCUUAACCUAUUCUCAAACUUUAAAUAUGUAAGAAGCGCUUGUUGCUUAGUUGAACGUGCGCAUUAGAAUGGAGCGUUACUAGUGGGCCAUUUUUGGUAAGCAGAACUGGCGAUGCGGGAUGAACCGAACGCGAGGUUAAGGUGCCGGAAUGCACGCUCAUCAGACACCACAAAAGGUGUUAGUUCAUCUAGACAGCCCGACGGUGGCCAUGGAAGUCGG